rnacentral:rRNA from 1 species
UACGGGGGGGGCAAGCGUUGUUCGGAAUUACUGGGCGUAAAGGGCUCGUAGGUGGCCAACUAAGUCAGACGUGAAAUCCCCAGGCUUAACCUGGGAACUGCGUCUGAUACUGGAUGGCUUGAAUUCGGGAGAGGGAUGCAGAAUUCCAGGUGUAGCGGUGAAAUGCGUAGAUAUCUGGAGGAACACCGGUGGCGAAGGCGGCAUCCUGGACCGGCAUUGACGCUGAGGCACGAAGGCCAGGGGAGCAAACGGG